rnacentral:rRNA from 1 species
AAUGAACGCUGGCGGCAUGCCUAACACAUGCAAGUCGAACGAAGGCUUCGGCCUUAGUGGCGCACGGGUGCGUAACGCGUGGGAAUCUGCCCUUGGGUUCGGAAUAACCAGGAGAAAUUUAACCAAAUACCGGAUGAGGACGAAAGUCCAAAGAUUUACCGCCCAAGGUUGAGCCCGCGUAGGAUUAGCUAGUUGGUGAGGUAAAGGCUCACCAAGGCGACGAUCCUUAGCUGGUCUGAGAGGAUGAUCAGGCCACACUGGGACUGAGACACGGCCCAGACUCCUACGGGAGGCAGCAGUGGGGAAUAUUGGACAAUGGGCGAAAGCCUGAUCCAGCAAUGCCGCGUGAGUGAUGAAGGCCUUAGGGUUGUAAAGCUCUUUUACCCGGGAUGAUAAUGACAGUACCGGGAGAAUAAGCUCCGGCUAACUUCGUGCCAGCCGCCGCCGUAAAAC